rnacentral:rRNA from 1 species
AGAGUUUGAUCCUGGCUCAGGACGAACGCUUGCGGCGUGCCUAAGAAAUGCAAGUCGAACGGAUGGUCCAGCAAUGGGCCAUUAGUGGCGAACGGUCGCGUAACACGUAGGCAACCUGCCCGAAAGUGGGGGACAACAGCCUGAAAGGGCUGCUAAUACCGCAUGUGGCCAAAGAGUGGCAUCACUUUUUGUCUAAAGCUUUAUGCGCUUUCGGGUGGGCUUGCGGCCUAUCAGGUAGUUGGUGGGGUAAUGGCCUACCAAGCCGACGACGGGUAGCUGGUCUGAGAGGACGAUCAGCCGGAUUGGGACUGAGAUACGGCCCAGACUCCUACGGGGGGCAGCAAUUAGGAAUCUUGCGCAAUGGGGGCAACCCUGACGCAGCGACGCCGCGUGCGGGAUGAAGGCAUUCGUGUCGUAAACCGCUUUUGACAGGGAAGAAGAAUUUGACGGUACCUGUCGAAUAAGCCCCGGCUAACUACGUGCCAGCAGCCGCGGUAAUACGUAGGGGGCGAGCGUUGUCCGAAGUUACUGGGCGUAAAGCGCGCGUAGGCGGUCAUUUAAGUUCGGGGUGAAAGGUUCAGCGCUCAACGCGAACAGUGCCUUUGAAUACUGGGUGACUUGAGUUCGGGAGAGGGCAGUGGAAUUCCUGGUGUAGCGGUGAAAUGCGUAGAUAUCAGGAGGAACACCGAUGGCGAAGGCAGCUGCCUGGCCUAGAACUGACGCUGAGGUGCGAAAGCGUGGGGAGCGAACAGGAUUAGAUACCCUAGUAGUCC